rnacentral:rRNA from 1 species
GCAAGUCGAACGAGAACGGGUUAUAGUUUACUAUAACUGUCAGCUAAGUGGCGCACGGGUGAGUAAUAUAUAGGUAACGUGCCUAAACAGGGGGUAAAAUUUGGAAACGAAUGCUAACACCCAUAUGCCUUUAUCCCAUAAGGGAGCAAGGGAAAUAUUUAUAGCUCUAGGAUCGGCCUGUACGAUAUCAGUUUGUUGGUGAGGUAAUGGCUCACCAAGACUAUGACGCCUAACUGGUUUGAGAGGAUGAUC